rnacentral:rRNA from 1 species
GGCGAAAUUCCUUGUCGGGUAAGUUCCGACCGCACGAAAGGCGUAAUGAUUUGGGCACUGUCUCAACGAGAGACUCGGUGAAAUUAUAGUACCUGUGAAGAUGCAGGUUACCCGCGACAGGACGGAAAGACCCCAUGGAGCUUUACUGCAGUUUGAUAUUGAGUGUUUGUACAGCUUGUACAGGAUAGGUAGGAGCCGAUGAAACCAGGACGCUAGUCUUGGUGGAGGCGUUGGUGGGAUACUACCCUUGCUGUAUGACCACUCUAACCCACAGCCAUGAUCUGGCUGGGAGACAGUGUCUGACGGGCAGUUUGACUGGGGCGGUCGCCUCCUAAAGAGUAACGGAGGCGCCCAAAGGUUCCCUCAGAAUGGUUGGAAAUCAUUCGUAGAGUGUAAAGGCAGAAGGGAGCUUGACUGCGAGACCUACAAGUCGAGCAGGGACGAAAGUCGGGCUUAGUGAUCCGGUGGUUCCGCAUGGAAGGGCCAUCGCUCAACGGAUAAAAGCUACCCUGGGGAUAACAGGCUUAUCUCCCCCGUCGACGCGGCCG